rnacentral:rRNA from 1 species
GACGAACGCUGGCGGUGUGCUUAACACAUGCCAGUCGAACGGUAAGGCCCUUUCGGGGGUCCACGAGUGGCGAACGGGUGAGUAACACGUGAGUAACCUGCCCUCAUCUCUGGGAUAACAGUCGGAAACGGUUGCUAAUACUGGAUAUGAGCUUGCAAGGCAUCUUGUGGGUUGGAAAGAUUUUUUUUGGUUGGGGAUGGACUCGCGGCCUAUCAGCUUUUUGGUGAGGUAGUGGCUCACCAAGGCUUCGACGGGUAGCCGGCCUGGGAGUGCGACCGGCCCACUGGGGACUGAGCCACGGCCAAAACCCCGACGGGGGGACGAAGGGGGGAAUAUUGACCAAGGGACGGAGUUUUGUUGCAGCACCCCCGCGGGCGGGAUGACGCCUUUGGGGUUGAAAACCGGGUUCAAUUGGAACGAAGCUUUUUUUUACCGGAACCAAUGAAAAAACCACCGGUAACCUCCGG